UGAGCAAUCUGCCCUUCUCUUUGGAAUAAGCGUUGGAAACGACGUCUAAUGCCGAAUAUGACCUCCUUUCGCACGAUCGGAGGUGGAAAGCUCCGGCGGAGAAGGAUGAGCUCGCGGCCUAUCAGCUAGUUGGUGUGGGUAAUGGCCCACCAAGGCGACGACGGGUAGCCGGCCUGGAGAGGGUGACCGGCCACACUGGGACUGAGACACGGCCCAGACCUCCGUACGGGGAGGCAGCG
rnacentral:rRNA from 1 species